rnacentral:misc_RNA from 1 species
GGCCAUUAUAUGAAAGUCUCAACAGUUUCUAAGCUGUAAACAUGGACCAAAGUAUUGAAAAAUUGGCUGUUGAUUAUGAUAAAAUCUCAAGCUUAGCCUCUCAAGGUUAUAGAAUCAAUAUAAGGACACCACCCAUCAUUUUCAAAAAGGGUGAAUAAGAAUGUACGAACUUAGAACAAGGAUGCAUAGGUUCAAGCAACCACCUAGAUUUAUUUUUACAGUGCAAAAAACACUACAGAACAAGUCUUCAAAUUGCAGUAAUUGCCUCAUGUCUAUGGAUUAAAGAUGAAAAACCUAUGGCUUGAGAGCCAAAGCAAGUCCAAACUUGGCACCCUUGUCAACAGAUUUAGUGUCCACUUCUCCUGAAACUGUGAAAAGGGACUUUGGACGCCACUCAUGUUGAAGCAGAGCACUGGCCUUGCCAAAGUUGUUAAUCCUUGCCUUCACACUGGUCAAAGGAUCCAAUCGGUGCUGAGUACCCACGGUGAUGAUGUUCUCAUUGGUAGAGAAGCUGUGAUUCACCUCAGCCCCAACAGCGGUACUUGUAAGAGGGCUCACUGUGUGGUAGUAUGAUGCAGUCAGAUUGUCUCCCUUGUUAUUCAGAUUCAAAGAAGCAACAAGGUCGGCAUUUGUGAAGCUCAAACCAGCAUUGCAUUUGGUGAAAUCUCCAGUCUUGGUGUCAAAGGAUACAUCAGUUCCAAGAGCAACAAUGUUGGUACCCACUACACCAGAAAAGUUAACAAUAGGGUUUGCUGUCAACCCUACGCUAGUGCAUAUCCCAGCAUAGUCAUGCAGAUAUUGAACUUCCAACUUUCCAGACCUUUGGUCAGGAACUCUGAAGCUUAAAA